CAGGACUCUUCAGAGCUCUUUAUUUUUCCUGUCUCCCUGAUGGAAAGGAGAUAGGUAGCAACACUUCCACUCAGGUUAGGAUGAGCAAGUCCAGCAAUGGGGAUGUGCUCAGGGGGCUGGGGAAGCCUGGGAGGCUUUUCCUGACCCGUGAGAACUCCUGGCAGCUCCUGAUGCACCGCUGCCCUUGCCCAGCUUUUGCAGCCAUGGUCACAAAAUACUCCGGCAGAGAACGUAAUAAAGGCCUCGCCGUUCACACCUCCCCGUUCUCAGGCCGCGCCUGGCUUCCCAUCCUCCACCCAAUCAGCCGGGGCAGCGCUCGGACCGCACCGGGGCUGUUCCGAGGAGGGCUCUCGAUAAAAGGGCCCUCAGGGCUCAGCCUGGCAGUCGCCGCCCGCUGCUCGUCCCGCUGCCAUGGCCUGCUCUGCCCCUGCAGCCUCGCCCUUCUGGGACAUGCUGGCGCUGCUGGCCCGGGAGCCGGGCAUGGAGUGGCUGGAGCGGAGACUGGCCGGGCACGGAGUCACCUCCCCGCCUCGCAGCCGGGAAGCGCCGCGGAGCCGAGGCGAGAUCAGUUAUCAGCAGAAGCAUUCCUUGGGACCUUGGCCUCUGAAGACUUUGUCGUUGCUGGAGCACUCAGGGGACAGUAGGCUUUGGCAAGCCUACCUCGAAGGACUGAAGAAAUUCCUUGUCUUCAGGGAAAGCACGGGAAUGCCUGCAGCCUGGCCAAUUCCAGUGGAACAAAUUAGAGGGUUUUUGGCUGUGGAAUCUAAUUAUUCCUCCUCGAAGACACUCAUGUACGUGGCAGCACUUUCUUAUUUAUCAAAAUUGACUGGUAACGCUGAUCCUCUGGAGGAUCCUAUGACCUGUUGCAUGGUGACAGGGUUGAAACGUCGAGCGGGUAUCCUGAGGGAUAAAUACUUGCCUGUAACAAUUGAGAUGUUGCGGUCUCUCUUAGGAGUCCUGGAGUCUGCAUGCGUAACUCACUAUGAAUGCUUAUUGUUUCGUGCACUAUUUACUGUGGCUUUUUUUGGGGCACUUCGAAUAAGAGAGAUUGUGGCCAAGCACCGUGAUGUCCUGCAGCCUGAGCUGCUGUACCUGAGCGAUCUCCAGCUGAUGGAGAGGAAGGCGCUGCUUUUCCUGCCUUAUUCUCCCGUGGAUCACGAGAGGCAUGUCAUCAGCCUGGCGCUGUCCGGAGAGCCGUGGGUGUGCCCGGUGCUGGCCCUCCGGAGCUACCUGGCAGCCCGUGCCCGGCAGGAGGGGCCGCUCUUCGUGCGCUCGGACUCGCGGCCCGUGACCAGGCGGGAGUUCCGGGCGGUGCUGGGGCGCGCCCUGUGCCUGCUGGGGCUGUCCCCGGAGCACUACGGCCCGCACUCCUUCUGGCUGGGCACUGCCCUCACCGCGGCGCGCUGCGGAUACCCCAGGGAAGAUGUCACUCGCCUGGCAAGGUGGCCCUGCGUGAUCCCAGGGAAAUUCCUGCCGAGGAGACCAACGGGAGAAUAGAGGCUAAGGAAUCAUCUUCUUUAUGUAGAGUCAAAUUUAGCUGUAUAGUUUAUAGCUUUUGACAGGAAUUUAGUGUUAACGCCUAAAAUUAAUUUUCUACCUCACAGUGGGGUGAUCUUAAAUUAACACAGAACUUGUUUGUUCUGUCUGUGUUUUAAGGUGGGGGGAAUGUUAAACCCUUGUGCAUGAACUGCAGUUUUAUCUUGUAUAGUAUCUUUAUUAUCUGGAGACAAUAAAUAUUGCCUUUUUAAAAACA
ensembl:lncRNA